CGAACGCUGGCGGCGUGCCUAAUACAUGCAAGUCGAACGCACUCUCGUUUAGAUUGAAGGAGUUUGCUCCUGAUUGAUAAACAUUUGAGUGAGUGGCGGACGGGUGAGUAACACGUGGGUAACCUGCCCUAAAGUGGGGGAUAACAUUUGGAAACAGAUGCUAAUACCGCAUAAAACCUAACACCGCAUGGUGUAGGGUUGAAAGAUGGUUUCGGCUAUCACUUUAGGAUGGACCCGCGGUGCAUUAGUUAGUUGGUGAGGUAAAGGCUCACCAAGACCGUGAUGCAUAGCCGACCUGAGAGGGUAAUCGGCCACACUGGGACUGAGACACGGCCCAGACUCCUACGGGAGGCAGCAGUAGGGAAUCUUCCACAAUGGACGAAAGUCUGAUGGAGCAACGCCGCGUGAGUGAAGAAGGUGUUCGGAUCGUAAAACUCUGUUGUUGGAGAAGAAUGUAUCUGAUAGUAACUGAUCAGGUAGUGACGGUAUCCAACCAGAAAGCCACGGCUAACUACGUG
rnacentral:rRNA from 1 species